rfam:Pyronema omphalodes CBS 100304, CBS100304, WGS project CATG01000000 data, contig: Pcon_v1_contig382
GCCUCGCUAGCUCAAUCGGUAGAGCGUGAGACUCUUACCUUAGUGUUAUCUCAAGGUUGCGGGUUCGACCCCCGCGUGGGGCU